rnacentral:rRNA from 1 species
CAACCUGCCGAUAACUCAGGGAUAGCCUUUCGAAAGAAAGAUUAAUACCUGAUGGCAUAGGAUUAUCGCAUGAUAAUCCUAUUAAAGAAUUUCGGUUAUCGAUGGGGAUGCGUUCCAUUAGGCAGUUGGUGAGGUAACGGCUCACCAAACCUUCGAUGGAUAGGGGUUCUGAGAGGAAGGUCCCCCACAUUGGAACUGAGACACGGUCCAAACUCCUACGGGAGGCAGCAGUGAGGAAUAUUGGUCAAUGGACGGGAGUCUGAACCAGCCAAGUAGCGUGAAGGAUGACUGCCCUAUGGGUUGUAAACUUCUUUUAUACGGGAAUAAAGUGAUCCACGUGUGGGUUUUUGUAUGUACCGUAUGAAUAAGGAUCGGCUAACUCCGUGCCAGCAGCCGCGGUAAUACGGAGGAUCCGAGCGUUAUCCGGAUUUAUUGGGUUUAAAGGGAGCGUAGGUGGAUUGUUAAGUCAGUUGUGAAAGUUUGCGGCUCAACCGUAAAAUUGCAGUUGAUACUGGCAGUCUUGAGUACAGUAGAGGUGGGCGGAAUUCGUGGUGUAGCGGUGAAAUGCUUAGAUAUCACGAAGAACUCCGAUUG